rnacentral:rRNA from 1 species
AUUGAACGCUGGCGGCAGGCUUAACACAUGCAAGUCGAGCGGGGUGAUGGUGCUUGCACUAUCACUUAGCGGCGGACGGGUGAGUAAUGCUUAGGAAUCUGCCUAUUAGUGGGGGACAACAUCUCGAAAGGGAUGCUAAUACCGCAUACGUCCUACGGAAGAGAGCAGGGGAUCACUUGUGACCUUGCGCUAAUAGAUGAGCCUAAGUCGGAUUAGCUAGUUGGUGGGGUAAAGGCCUACCAAGGCGACGAUCUGUAGCGGGUCUGAGAGGAUGAUCCGCCACACUGGGACUGAGACACGGCCCAGACUCCUACGGGAGGCAGCAGUGGGGAAUAUUGGACAAUGGGGGGAACCCUGAUCCAGCCAUGCCGCGUGUGUGAAGAAGGCCUUAUGGUUGUAAAGCACUUUAAGCGAGGAGGAGGCUCUUUUGGUUAAUACCCAAGAUGAGUGGACGUUACUCGCAGAAUAAGCACCGGCUAACUCUGUGCCAGCCGCCGCAGUAA